rnacentral:lncRNA from 1 species
GGUUUUUGGGUUUAAUUUUGGUUUAAUUAGCCAAUUAACUGGCUAAUUAAACAUAAGGGGAAUGUUUUGGUGGUUAUAGAAUAUUUAGAAUAAAUAGAUAAUUAGGUCAUGUAAUAAUUAGCUAAUUGAUUUAGCUAAAAAAAGGAAAUUAGGUAAAAGAUAUAUGGGGUGAAAUAAAUUUUAGGAAUUACCUUGUAGAAGGAUUUGAUGAGAUGAAUUUUUGAAUUGUUACCUUUUUCGGACCUUUUUUUACUUCGUUGAGGGAUGAAAGCCCGCUGCUCGCAGUAGGAAUCCCGUUAUGCCUCAAGGGUAUUUUUGUCCUCUUUCGUCCAAAAAUCCACGUGUCACCUAAUGAAUAUUUUUGGCUCCACAAAUGCCCCUACACCUGUUGGGCUGCUCACAGAAAAGGGCAACAGGUGUAGAGAUUUUCUUGCUUUAGGAAACUUUGAAUUGCUUCUUAUUUUGGUGAUGAUUCUCUCUUUUAAUAGAAAAUUAGAUCCUUCUAAGAAAAGAAAAUAAAUCCCUCUCAAAGUUUAUUUAAGUCCACCUUAAGUGGAUUAUUAAAUCAACUUUUUGAGAGAAACUUAUUUCACCCUACAAGCGAGAGAAAGCUUAGAGGAUAUUUAUUCCCCUUCCUCUAGCCAUCUUCUACAUCUUGCCCGUGCAAAGGAUCGUCUUUCGUUGCUUGCUUCGUCCUCUCGUUGCUUCUAGGUAAGAAAAAAAUUACUUUUCCUGAUUUUUUUUUAUACCUC